UCUCUCCCCUUUCUCUCUCUCUCUCUCUCUCCCCUUUCGCUCUCUCUCUCCCCUUUCGCUCUCUCUCUCUUCCACUCCCCUUUCGCUCUCUCUUUCUCUUUCUCUCUCUUCCACUCCCCUUUCUCUCUCCCUCUCUCUGUCUCUUUCUCUCUCUUCCACUCCCCUUUCUCUUUCUCUCUCUUCCACUCCCCUUUCUCUCUCUCUCUUUCUCUCUUCCACUCCCCUUUCUCUCUCCCUCUCCCACUCUCUCUCUUCCACUCCCCUUUCUCUCUCCCUCUCUCCCACUCCCCUUUCUCUCUCCCUCUCUCCCACUCCCCUUUCUCUCUCCCUGUCUCUCUCUGUCUCUCCCACUCCCCUUUCUCUCUCCCUGUCUCUCUCUGUCUCUCUUUUCCUCUCUCUGAGGCUGUGUGCUAAGUGAAGUCCUCCCCAGUCAGGGCCUUCUAUCCUUGGGGAAGCAGGCAGAGAAGAGAGGUAGAGGGUUGGGUUACACUCUGCAGGGAUGGGUGGUGGGGGGGUAGAGAUCGAUAGGGGAUAAAGACUGAGAGACAGAGACAUAUCAUCAUUACCUUUUCUUUAGGACACUCCGGGAGGAGUCAGGAGGGAGGGAGGGAGACUGGUGGCUGGGGCUGCCAAACAAAGAAGCAUCAUCCCCCCCCCCCUCUCUGACACUAGCUCUGAGUGCAGCCAGCCAGCUAGCCAGCCACAGCCAGGGAGGUAGAGGGAGGGAGGCAGAGAGAGCCAUCGGCCAUGCAGACAGGCUAGAGAGAGGAUCCUUGGAUACAUUACUCACUACAGAGGAAGGAGGAAAAGAGGAAAAGGCUAUAUGAGAAAAGGAACAAGCGAUCUGAAUGCCAUGGGGAGAUGGGAGAAAAGAGAAGGGUUCAGUCUCAUAGUAUGAACAGGUAUGCUACAGAACAUGUGGUUGAUGCCCUAGCCCAGAGUAACACUGUAUACUGUAGUAUGAACAGGUAUGCUACAGGACAUGUGGCUGAUGCCCUAGCCCAGAGUAACACUGUAUACUGUAGUAUGAACAGGUAUGCUACAGGACAUGUGGCUGAUGCCCUAGCCCAGAGUAACACUGUAUACUGUAGUAUGAAC
rnacentral:lncRNA from 1 species